rnacentral:rRNA from 1 species
AGCAGCCGCCGCGGUAACACGUAGGUGGCGAGCGUUGUCCGGAAUGAUUGGGCGUAAAGGGAGCGCAGGUGGGACGGUAAGUCCUUCUUAAAAGCGUGGGGCUCAGCCCCAUGAAGGGAAGGAAACUAUCGAUCUUGAGUGCCGGAGAGGAAAGCGGAAUUCCCAGUGUAGCGGUGAAAUGCGUAGAUAUUGGGAAGAACACCAGUGGCGAAGGCGGCUUUCUGGACGGCAACUGACACUGAGGCUCGAAAGCCAGGGGAGCGAACAGGAUUAGAUACCCCUGUAGUCCCUGUCUCUUAUACC